rnacentral:tRNA from 1 species
CCAAGGGUGGCAGAGCGGUUUAUGCGUUGGUCUGUAAAACCAAUUUAUGUAGGUUCGACUCCUACCCCUUGGACCA